rnacentral:lncRNA from 1 species
CUGCUGCCAAGGGCGAGUCUGUUGAGUUGAGAAGAUGCUUUCAUGGACCGGACACACAUGCACACACACACACACCGGCAGGUUUCAGCGACGUGCUCUGAGGAACAACACAGAGACAUGUUGCAAUUCCAUGGCGGCAACGCCGGCGACCACUGCUUAGCGGGGAGCAAACCAGAACCACUGGAGCUUUUGUGUCCUCCACUGAACUUGGCAAAUAUGCGAGCUAACAAUUCCGAACAGAAAACUCAUGGAUGUGGUGCGUUCACCGCUGAAAAGGGAGUCGAGACGACUCGAGCUCACGUGUCAGAGUGCGUGCAUUGAAUCUAAGGUUUAACGCAGAGGCGAAAAUCUGACGAAACUCCCGACUUCCGUCUCGACACAAAAUCUCCUAGGCGACAUUGGAGCAUCAAAUCGGUCGCUUUAAUCCCCGGCGGCAUGCAUGCCUACUGUGCACCGGGGCUCAAGGGAACACGUGGAAAGUCCACAUGACGACACAGAAAGAACGGGACAUGCCUUUUCUCGUGCACACGAGAGUUUCUGUUCGUUUUUUUUUCGGUCGAGAGGAAGCGGUGUUCGGCGCGUGAUAUUGUUUCACAGCCUUUGCAGGAAUGCUCCCGGCUGCAUCGCAGCACUUUCUCACCCCGAGACCUUCGCAAGUUGGCCACGAAGUCAGCUUUCCAGUCAACCACUUCCAGGGCUCCAGCGCUCACCCAUGACUUCCCUGCUGCUUCCUUUUCUGCCUGUCUGCAAGAAACCAACCGCCGCAUGCGUGAAGGUGUUCUAUCGUGUGGAUGUCUAUUCAGGCGUCACCGUAAGUGAAUCGUGUCUAGAACGCCUGUGAAUCCUGUGUUGGAGAAUCGCCUCUCGCUUGCGUUGCGUCUCUUAAGGAUGCCAUCUGGAUUCGCGUUGCUUUCUCGAGCGCAGCGGAUCUCCGACAGCGUCCGUUCUGUUGGGCAGAGCGGCCGGCGCGAGUCAAAGUCACCACACGAAAAAUACAGCCGUUUGAUGUGAGGCGUUGCGUUUCAAGCAUCCCCUUGACAACUCCAAGACUCCUACGGGGAACGGCAGCUUUGUUUCUGGACGAAAACCGAGAAACGCUGAAAUUCGCUUUCUUGCCGACAGAGGGCGGCCGGCUCCUGCAACAAUGGUUUCACUAAAAACAUGCACGGGAGACAGCCGGACGCCGACGCACUAACGGCACCGACAACAGAAUACACCGGUGCAUGCAGACACA